GAGGCCUCCUCAGCCAUGUGGAACUAGUACACAGACUUAUGCUUUUAAACAAGUCUGAUAAAGUCAUCUUUCAGCUCAAAACCCUGCGAUGAGUCCCUUCUUUUCAGAGUAAAGUUUUCAAGAUUUCCAAAGUGCUGAUGAGAUUUUAUAGUGCCA